UACGUAGGAGGCAAGCGUUGUCCGGAAUUACUGGGCGUAAAGCGCGUGUAGGCGGUCUGAAUAGUCUGCUGUGAAAGCGCCUGGCUUAACCGGGCGAGGUCGGCGGAAACUCUCAGACUGGAGGCCGGUAGAGGGGGGUGGAAUUCCCGGUGUAGUGGUGAAAUGCGUAGAGAUUGGAAAGAACACCAAUGGCGAAAGCACUUUACUGGGCUAUUACUGACACUGAGAGACGAAAGCUAGGGUAGCAAAUGGG
rnacentral:rRNA from 1 species